GUGAGGGGCGUCGAUGAGAUGCUCCUGGUGCCUCCCUCCGAGUGGGAGGGGGAGAGGGGCGUCAGCGGCGAGCCGGACGGGGCGAGGGGCGUCGAUGAGAUGCCCCCGGCGCUUCCCUCCGGGCGGGAGGAGGAGAGGGGCGUCGGCGACGAGGCGGGUGUCGGCGGCAAGAUGGUCUCUGACGGGCGUGAUAGGCGGGCAGCUUAGGCGUGAAGCGUGCGUUCAUGGAGGUAUUCGCCAGGGCGCUCUUCUAUCCGACGGUGAUGCUGAACUACGGCCGCAGCUUGAUCGAGCCCGAGUUCCACUGGUGGGAUCGCAUCGACAAGGAUAUUUGGAUAGGGGCAGUUCCUCACCAACCAAUGUCAUAAUUUAUCACGUCCGCAAAUGAUUUUUGGACUGUAGUUUGGAUUGUUCUGCCGAGCGUAUAACAACGCAUGCUAUCUAUCAAAGCUUCGACUCAUUUGUUUUGCUGCUCCGGAAUAUUGAGACGAGAAGAAUGGCCUUGAUGCUGGAGGUUAAUGGAUCACCCUGGGAACGAUUUUGAGGGCAUUAUGCCAGCUACUUUGAUGGCAAUGGAUUAUGGAAUGGCAAACUAACAGGGCACAUCGCACAACUGGUAUAAAUGUGUUGAUAUGUUGCAUUUCAAGGCAGUUUCACUCAUAAAUACUACAAAGUUUGAACCAUUUAGCAUUUGGGACCACGAGGAUUCCGAUUGGGAGAACGACGUCGUCCAUAGAUUAAUGUAUGGGAACACCGGGCCAACUCACUUUACAGGACAGGAGGGUUGACCGCUGGGCGAUGCGCUGCACGAGUAGGCCAGGAGGAACAAGAGUAGAAGAGGACUGUAGCCUGUAGGUGAGAGAAGAUGAUGCCAUUGCCAUCUUGACUGAAGGUUGGGCAUCUAAAGAUGCUUGGCAACCAGAACUCUGAAGCUAAACACCACUUGAAGGUACCUGGAAAUACAUUACUUGCUGAAGCUGCACAUCCUACGCCCCAGGAGGAGGCCAAAUGCAUAUUCCGAUCAUGUGUUCUAAAUACUAAAGCUUCCUUGCUGGAUCUAAGGUUUAAUUUCUCUGCCCCAAUGCUGGUUCUUAGGGUAAUACAAGUUCUACUCCAUAUUUUUGAUGCCCUCCACACAACUGUAUGUUCAUGUUCCAGAGUCCUUAUUCAUAGUUAAUUUCAAUCACAAAGUGACAAAUGCCAGUCUAUUAGUUAACAUGUGUAUCUCCGUUUCUUCUAAGUUUCAAUCGACCUACUCUGAAGUUGUUCCUAAGACAGUGCCUCAAGCAAAGGGAAUGAGCCUCAGUUAGUGUAUCUAGCGAGUUCGCGAUCCUUUGUUGGGAUAAACAUUUGUGCAAGAGCAAGUCUCGUCACUGUUGGUUGUUAGUACUUUUGCUUGAUAAUUCUAAUUUUUACUUCAGUUCAUAAGGCAAUGUAGUUAUGCUUGACGCACGAUAUGAAGACUGCCAUUUUGCCUUUUGACCUUGGUUUCUUCCUCCAGUAAGUAAAUGCACAUAGUUCUUUUCUAAAUUAGAGCAUAUGACUUGUUGAUCGAUCUCUGAGCUCAGUAAUAAUAUUAAGCCUUAAUCUGUUUACUGUAAUCUGGAAUAAAAUUAAAUAAAUAAGGAAACGUUAUAUUCAUAUAUCUUUUUUGUACUUUGAUGGUUUCACACCACAAGUUCCUAGAUGGUAAUUGUGCUGCAUAUGUCUGCUCUCUUACUUUGUUUUUCUGAACAGGUAGGUUCCGAAAGAUGUCAUGAAGAAUUUCUUUGAGAGAAUUUGCGUGAGGUGUGUCUAAAUGAUUUUUAUCUUCUGAACAUAUUCUUGUAUGACUAACUGAAUUCAUUUUCUCAAAACGUUGGUACUUUUCCUUUUUCAUUUAUGUUGCUCGACUGAGUCUCUCUCGGAUCAUGUACACUCCACAUGUUAGCUGAUCUGUAGCAGUGCGGAAGGUGAGCUUGGCUGCCGGCAACAGCUCCUUUGGCUGAUCUGCGGUGAUGCAGAAGUUGGGUUGGAAAAAAGCACGACCGGCUGCUCUGAAGUGGGUCGUAGGGAGAGCUUCGUAAGAGAUAGGGAGGGAGCUCUAUUGGCCCGUGCAUGACAUCCAACCCAAUGGCAUCAUGCCCUGGUAGGCAUGGUUGCAUGGCCACGGGGAGAAUGGAGCAAGUAGCGUGUGAGGAGUUUAAGAAAUGGGGACAAGGGACAGUUUAGUUAAUUAAGUCUAUGUUAGUUUCAAGUUUUAUCCUUGUUGCGGUAAAAAAUUAAGGUUGGAUUAACCACCAUGUACAUCUUUAAUUACUUUUAAAUAAGAAAUAUAAUCAAAAUAUUCUCUUGAAAUCAUAAAAUUUAUAUAAUUUGUACAAGUACAUGAAGGUGGAACAUGAGGAAGGGUGGGAGAAGAUUAGGCC